rnacentral:misc_RNA from 1 species
UCCCACCACCGUUGCCUCCACCUCCGCCGCCUCCACCUCCUCCUCCACCAACAUAGGGAUAUACGGGGAGAGUAGGUUUUGUUGGGACAUGGCCAAAUCUGCUUCCGAAUCCUAAGCCACCUCCACCACCAUUUGGACGUGGCAUUGCUGGGUCAUUACCUGCGCCUCCACCACCAAUAAUGGAUAGUGAACCUUCAUUAGAAGUGGCGUCCAGAAGAACCCUAUGAGCAAAACUGAAGCUUAAGCCUAGUAAGACCAAGAAACCCACAAAGACACCUUUUAAUGGAACCAUUUUCCUGAAUGUAAUAUUAUGUCUUGCUUUGGUUUGCAUGGCAGCAAAACAAGAAGCAUGUAUAUAUAGGGAGGUUUUGCAAUGGCAGGAAGAGAAAACUAUACUAUAUUUGUGGCGGUUCGGUCCUGG